AGUGAACGCUGGCGGUAGGCCUAACACAUGCAAGUCGAACGGCAGCACAGUAGAGCUUGCUCUUACGGGUGGCGAGUGGCGGACGGGUGAGGAAUACAUCGGAAUCUACUUUUUCGUGGGGGAUAACGUAGGGAAACUUACGCUAAUACCGCAUACGACCUACGGGUGAAAGCAGGGGAUCUUCGGACCUUGCGCGAUUGAAUGAGCCGAUGUCGGAUUAGCUAGUUGGCGGGGUAAAGGCCCACCAAGGCGACGAUCCGUAGCUGGUCUGAGAGGAUGAACAGCCACACUGGAACUGAGACACGGCCCAGACUCCUACGGGAGGCAGCAGUGGGGAAUAUUGGACAAUGGGCGCAAGCCUGAUCCAGCCAUACCGCGUGGGUGAAGAAGGCCUUCGGGUUGUAAAGCCCUUUUGUUGGGAAAGAAAAGCAGCAGGUUAAUACCCCGCUGUUCUGACGGUACCCAAAGAAUAAGCACCGGCUAACUUCGUG
rnacentral:rRNA from 1 species